rnacentral:misc_RNA from 1 species
GUUUCCGUAGGUGAACCUGCGGAAGGAUCAUUAAAAAAAGAGAAACGUCCCGUUCUUUUUCAUAAGAAUGGGUUCUAUUCCCUUAAACCGUGUCUACAUACCUUUGUUGCUUUGGCAGGCCGCCUUCGGGCGUCGGCUCCGGCUGAUAGUGCCUGCCAGAGGACCCAAACUCUAUGUUUAGUGAUGUCUGAGUACUAUAUAAUAUUUAAAACUUUCAACAACGGAUCUCUUGGUUCUG